GUUCUUAAAACAUUAAUGCGUGUAUUUGAUUGAAUAAAUGAAUAAAUUUGGGACUUGCCAAAUGGAUUGUUGAUGCACGUAUUCCUUUCAAUGCAAUUCAAUCACCUUACUUUCAACCUGCAUUGGAUGGU